CAGUAGCCGCGGUAAUACGAAGGGUGCAAGCGUUGAUCGGAAUUACUGGGCGUAAAGCGUGCGUAGGCGGUGAGUUAAGUCUGCUGUGAAAUCCCCGGGCUCAACCUGGGAAUGGCAGUGGAUACUGGCUCGCUAGAGUGUGUCAGAGGAUGGUGGAAUUCCCGGUGUAGCGGUGAAAUGCGUAGAGAUCGGGAGGAACAUCAGUGGCGAAGGCGGCCAUCUGGGACAACACUGACGCUGAGGCACGAAAGCGUGGGGAGCAAACAGGAUUAGAUACCCCAGUAGUCCCUGUCUCUUAUAC
rnacentral:rRNA from 1 species